UCCCUGGUGGUCCAGUGGCUAAGACUCUGCACUCCCAAUGCAGGGUGCCGGGGUUCGAUCCCUGGUCAGGGAC
rfam:TPA: Bos taurus chromosome 29, whole genome shotgun sequence.